GGGAACCGCUCCCUCCGCUUCCCGGGCUGCACCGCCCGGCCCGGCCCGGCCCGGCCUCCCACCGCCUCCCUUCUGCUCGGAGCGAACCCCGUUGUCAGCAGGAACAGCACCCUCCCUCCCGGUUCCAGGAGGCAAGGGUUCGAUGAUCACUCAGAAUCUGAAGUGGAGGAAUCUGAGGACCACACACCCAUAGCUGAAUCCCCACCAUCACUGGAUGACUCACGUGGCGUGGAAACACCAGCAUCUGCAGCCCAGCCGUCUGUAGUGGAAUUGCCACUAUCUGCAGACCAGCUGGCUGUCAAGAAGCCACCCCAUUCCGAGCACCACUUCCAGCUCAUUGUAUAGUCUGCAUCCAGGGAAAGCUCACCUGAGAUCAGAUCACCUGUGGGUGAACUUCCAGUUUUCAAAGUCAAGAUGCACACCUCUGAAUCCACACAGGAUGGCAGUAACACCGUUGAGGCUGUGUUGUCAGCAGCAGAGAUUGCAUUUGAAUCAUUGGAGAAUCCAGAGGAUUUUGGAGACCCCUAUCAAGUUGCCAUGAAUUAUGUGGAGGAACAUAAAAUUCUACAGCUAUUUCAGGAUAUCACAGAAAAACUGCUGAUCCAUAAGCCUGAUGACCCCUUGCAGUUCAUAUUGCUGGAGGUGCAGUCUAUGAUAAAUGCCAGGCAAGCAGAACCGGAGAAACUAUCGGAAUAGAGCGGAGAUGUGUAGGUGUUUCUAGAAGAAGGCUUGUGCACUCCUUUUGGUCCCCAUUUACCCUGCUGUUGUGGUAUUGCCACACCAUGCCUUCCCAGCACCGUGUAGUCAUUAGCAAUAACUUGGAAAAGAUCUGCUUGUCUGUCUCUUGCCUGGUUUAUCUGUUUUGUAUGCUUGUGCUUCCACUUGGGUCUAAAUCCUGCAACCAGGUUUUGGUUUGGAAUCACAGACUGAGAUCUAAGUGUGCAUGGAUCUGCAUGCACAUAUGGCACAUCUUGAAGAGGCAGGUCUGCUGAACUUCUAGGCAUAUAAAUGCAUAAAUCUCACAUUUAGGCCAAUCCACACUCUGCCUCUCUGUGCAGAGAAACCUCACAGCUCAGACAAUGCAAGGACAAAUGCAAGUGGAGUUAAAAAGCAGCCCUGGACAACCCACAGCCUUCUUUUCUCAUGCUGCAUUGGUGGCUUACUGUGUCCAGUUAUGCAGCAGCACCAAUGCCUAUCUCAUACUUCGAUAGUUUGUGUCUGGGCUUUCCCACUGCCCCCAGAGCUCCUCUAAUGCAAGAAGCUGUCUCUCUGCCUCUUCCACACACUGGGUACAGCUGUCUCACCCUUAAUCACUCCUGCUGGACAAUGAUCACUCUGCUUUUUGGGGUGGCCCUGCCUGUAUCAUUGUAAGUAGGGUGUUUAACCAGAACAGUAAAGCAACAGUUGCACACACCCUUUAUGCUUUCAGGAGACAUUGUCACUCAGGAAUGUGGGAGGUGAAUAAAAGCAAACAAUCCAAAACCAAGCACUGGUAGCCCAGAGAAUUAAGAGUCAAGAUACAUUUCGCAAGCACAUCAUUUGAACUGUGUUUGGUUUUUGAAACAAUUAAAAUUCUAAUUUUCAUACUAUCCAAGUGUUUGCUUCUACCCUGUAAAAAAAACUUUUUUUUUUCUUUUUCUUGUCUCUUGCCUGACAAUUAUUGAAAAUGUGCUACAGAGCAUACUGUUAUUUUGGCUUAAUAGAUUGUCUUAUAUGCAAUAGAUCCCAGAAAAGGUUUUUAUGUCACUACAGGCUUUUCUGUUGUUUAGCCAAGUGCUCUAAUUUCCUGAUGAAUGGUGGUGUAUUCCCAAAUGACUGUUUCUAUGGCUAUGUAGAGGGCACCAUAAAAACUUCCAUCUAUUUUUAAAAAAAUAAUGCAUGAUGAUUGGGAUGUGUGAUUCUACCCAACACAGCUCGGGCGCCAAAAGUCUGGGAAUAACAGAGGGCAAGUAUUUGGCAUACAAAUUCCAUGUGUGAGAUGAGUUUCCUUUCUAGCUGAGUUUCUCAAAAAGGAUCAGUUAACUCAUGUGUUUCAAAAUUGAAAACAGGUAAGCACCCCUGUCAUUCAUAGGCAAGGGAGUUUUUCAAGGUUAUUGUGAGCCUGAAGAUGGCUCACGAUUCAGAUUAAAUUUUCAUUGGUUUUAUAAGAGUUUUAAUGUAUACUUAAGCAUCUAGAUGCCACUGCAGCAGCGAGAUGCUUUUGAAAUCCCUACUUAUCUCCAGCAACUGGAAAAAUCUGACACUGAGAAUCUGAGAUUGAUCUGCUUACAAAUUCUUGACCAAAAAUGUAUCAGGCUGAAAAACAAUGCAUACAUGCCCUGUCCUAAUGUAUCUCUGUGGAACAGGAAAUGUAUGGAAGAUGAAGAUAGUGUUUGAAGCUUUCUUGUCUCUAUGGUCAUUUGUCAGCACAUUGUUGCAGGAGAUGGAGAAGCUGACAUGUCUUUGAAUUUUGUUGUAGAGCAGGAUUAGGAUGCCUUGGGGUACAGCCUUCACUGUGUAUUUCCUACCUCUGUCAUUUGGGUAUUGUAGUUUGUUGUUGUCUUUUGCUUACAAAAAGCUUUUGACCUGUAAUACGUUCUCAGACUAUAAGUAUAUGCCUUCAACUUCAUGUCAGCAUUAAGGGAGUUGUGCAAGGGAAGAUCCUUAAUUCCUCUCCCAGGUAGGUUGAAAUGAACUGGGAAGCAGUCUUCUUACAGGUGACAGAAGUUUUGCAAGAGAGGCCCUACCCAGUGUUCCUCAGUAAUCUCAGGGCCACAAUUUUCCUUUGAUGGCCUGGCCACCUCAUCUCAUGCUAACAAAGUUGCUGUGUGGCAGCAAGAAUUCCUUCCCAGUACACAUAAAAGAGAGCAUCUGUCUUGUCUAUUUCUCAGAAAAGAGAAACAGUGUUUUCUGUUCUUUUCUUUCUAUUAAGGAGAGGUCCUCCUCCAUUGAGGAGCAGUUUUCUAGAGAUGAAUGAGGCUGUACCCAGGAUAAGGUCUGUGGGCCUGGAGACGGCAUGUGUAGGGACUGGGGAAGGCAGUGGGCCAAGGAAAAUCCUUCAGCAUUCAGAGUUGGGGUGGGGGGGGAUAUAAUCUCUGAGCAAGGACUUAGAUCAGAAAUGUCACUUCCUUUACCUCAAGCCUCUCAGAUGAUCAAACUUAAUUUUAUAAAAACAAAAAAGCAUCCUCCAGAAUGUUUGCAAAUUACAACCUUAAACACUACGUGUUUAAGGUAGUGUCACACAGCUGUAUUUUUUCAUCUACUUCAGAAUUAUUCUGAGAAAUACACUCUAGCUCUAGAAAAAAACAACUUCACAUUAAGGCACUGCAGUUGUGUACAAGAAGGCUUUUCUGUGCUGAAGAAAAGAAAAAAAGUUGUAUUUUAAAUGGAAACUUUUACUGUAGCCUUAAUUCCAGAGUGACUGUCCCUUUUCCACAAUUUCUUUCCAAAACCAUUGGAUCCUUAUUUCAUCUUUGUAAGUGGACAUUUAUCAUCAUGACAUUAAACUGUCAUUAAAUUUCUUGCCUUGAAUGCUCAGAAGGAAUUAGCAGUUCCUCGUGUGUAACCGAAACUCUUCCAUAUAAGUCCUUAAAGCACACUAGUCACAGCACAUUUGAAUGCCCUCCAGAGUGCUAAGCAAUGUGACUAACAUCUGCUGUUUGCUCUUUCUCCUCUCCACAAGGGAAAUGGCUGUGCACUGAAGUGCAUUCUUCUAGAAAGGGUGGUUUGGGCUGUUUACCACACCUGUGUAUCUCUGUGUACUUCCAAUGGAUAAGUCAUGAAGUGGAAGGUGUGGAAGUUGGAGGUAGUUUGUAGUUUCCAUGGAUGAUUCCUCUGCAGUAUGAGCUGGGUACUGAGAAAAAACACAUUCUUUUCAAGGGAGAGAUAUUUUUGUUCAUCCAUGGACAGACACAGAGGUGCAACACCCAUCUAAUCUGCCAAAUGGCACAGUCUUAUGGUGCCCAGACUGUUUCUGUUGUGAACCUUGUGCUCCUCCAGAGGCAGGACACAGAGGAGCCAAUCAGGAGGAAAAGUGCAGUCCCUAUAAAAUAGGUCUCUUGGACCAAAACAUCAGUUUCUUUUUUCUGCCAUCUCUGUAUGGAACUUGAAAGCACUCAGCUGCCUCCAGUAUACUCCAGUAUUGCUCCAGCAAUACUGGAGGUGCCUGUGUACUGCUUCUAACCAAUGGGGGAAAAAAAGUUGUAACAACUGAUUAAAAAUUCUCUGAAAAGUUCA